CGAACAGUCAUCCACAGCAUUUUGACAAUCAAACAAGCUUGAAAGGAUUGAUUUUGGUGCUGAUAGCGAUGACGUGGAGAAAACCCCAAGGCUGAGACAACCUCUCAGAUCUGACAAGGAGAAUGUGAACCAUGAUGCAGUGGACGAGCUAUACGGUGAACAGAUCUUCGAAAGUGGUUCGGACGCGACCGCCGAGAAAGAGCGAGAGAGAGAGACUCUAGAGAGAGACCGAGAGAGACAUAGAGAAACACAAGGGAGUGACAGAGAGAGACAUCGAGAGACACAAGGGAGUGACAGAGACGCAAAUGAAGACAGUGGCGGUGGAUUGGAGAGUGACUCACCACCCACGCCUCCUCCACCCCCUUCUCCUACCCCCCAACUGCUGCCGCCUCACCUCCAUGAGAUCCAUCCCUCCAGGCAGACACCGAUGCCCCUCGAUAUCGAAAAUUAUCUACAAUUAGGAGCUAAGGAAAUUGCUGAGAAACCUCUGAAAAGACUGAUGUACAGACUAUUUGCUGCGAUGGAGAUAAAAUUACUGCGAAGCAGAAAAUUACUAGGCCAAAAAU